GAUGCCACUCCUGCAGAUGGACUUGAGGUAGUUCCACGUCCUGUGCUGCUCGUGAUUCGCUUCUAAGGUCAUUUUCAAAGACUCCGCCAUUAACUUCAGAGAACCCGGAAGGUACUUCUCAAGCUCUAUAAAACUCAGCUUGGACAAUGGAAUGCGAGCGGAAGUGAUACGUCAGUUCCAGGAGGAGCUCAAUGAAUAAAUGCAUGAUUUUUUUUAACUACUGCC
rnacentral:lncRNA from 1 species